rnacentral:misc_RNA from 1 species
GAAGGGGAUUCUGAGACUGAUAGCAGGCACAGCGAAGAGAAUAGAAAGGGGAAAAGCUAUGGGGAGGAAGAAGACAGUGGAAUUCGAUGAAUCGCCGCCUGAUGAUUUCGAUCCGGAGCAUCCGUAUAAGGAUCCGGUGGUGAUGCUAGAGAUGAGGGAACACAUUGUCAGAGAGAAGUGGAUCGAUAUCGAAAAGGCGAAGAUACUGAGGGAAAAGCUCAGAUGGUGCUAUCGUAUUGAAGGAGUCAAUCAUCUGCAGAAAUGCCGCCACCUCGUUCAACAAUACCUUGAUUCCACUCGUGGCAUCGGCUGGGGCAAGGACGGACGCCACCCGUCCCUUCAUGGUCCUAAAGUGGAGCCAGCCGAAUUGGAGUGAAUUGCUGGGUGGAACAACGGUGAGUUCAAAUGUUCGCAAGUUUUUUUGGUUAAUUUUAGUACUUAAUCGUACUGAAAAUCAAACCUUUUCUUUUUGUCAAAGCUUGAAUAAAUAACAGUGUAUAUCAGCUCUAUGCUUUAUUCGUGUACUGCUACGAG